GCCAUCAGGCAUAUCACCCUGCAGCCCAAGACCAGUUACUCACUGAAGCUAAGCAGGGCUCAGCAAGGUCCGUACCUGGAUAGGAGACAACAUGGGAAAAAACACGUUUGCUGUUGGAA
ensembl:rRNA 5S_rRNA 5S ribosomal RNA